rnacentral:lncRNA from 1 species
CCCUGUGCAGUGAGCUCUAUGCCCCAUACCACGCAGGAGCUCCCCUCUGUCUGCUCGCUCUUGUGUCUGCAGCUCCUUCUGAGGCACCCAGCGGUUCAAAGGCUCAGGCUUCUGGGCUUCCUGAUCUGGCUGUUGACAAAUCCAACACUACAGACCGGGUGGGAGAUUAAGAAACCCAGAAGAAAUCUCUGAUGUUGCCUGCACACCUCUGGAUCUCUCGCUCCCCAGCACUGACUCCAAGGAGAGGACAGGAAUCUUAGUGCAUGCUGAGGGACAGCUGCCGCCACGCCAAUGCCUGUGCACCCAGCACCUGCCGCCCCGCUGCAGGCACCUCCCUCCCUCCUUCCCAGUGAGCUGAUGCUGGGCCACUGUUGCCUACUAGAUCAGUUUUGCCUAAUUUUACUCUUGGGGCCACCUAGCAGUACUGGAGAUCGAACUCGGGACCUUGCACUUGUGAGGCAGGCAGUGGAACCACUGAGCUAAAUCCCCA